ensembl:lncRNA
GGAACUAAUGAUUGGUUUGGCCGUUGCAGCAGGGGGUUCAAAUUGAUUGACGGACGUAGCUCCACUAUACUCCUGAACACUUCUGGACAGACCAGUCUUCUGUGGCUGCAGUGCCGAGUCCGCCGACGGAGUCUCUGCUUAUCGGCGGCUUCAUGCCCGUGUAGCGUCGGACAGCCGAGGGAGGUCAGUGUGCAGAGUCAGCACCUGAAGAUUAAGUGUCAUUCUCAAGGACUCGGCAGGAGGGUGGAUUUUUGCUGAAACCAGGCCUUGAACCCGACUCCUCCAGUUAAAGGACAGCUGUCUCUUCGCUCAUUCUGUAAGCUGCCUAACCACAGUAACUCUGGCAGCAGCAUCGCCAGCAUGGGACAGAAAGAGAAUCCCUGACCCAAAGUGCAAAAGACAAUAGAGACUAUGAUAUGGGAACGUCUCAACUGUCUGGUUCUCCAACACUGAACACCACAAGUCAGAGCAGUCAGGGGAACUCCGGGUUAAAC